rnacentral:rRNA from 1 species
CUACAAUGGCGUAAACAAAGGGAAGCGAGACGGUGACGUUAAGCAAAUCCCAGAAAUAAACGUCCCAGUUCGGAUUGUAGUCUGCAACCCGACUACAUGAAGCUGGAAUCGCUAGUAAUCGCGAAUCAGAAUGUCGCGGUGAAUACGUUCCCGGGUCUUGUACACACCGCCCGUCACACCAUGGGAGUCGGAAAUGCCCGAAGUCAGUGACCCAACCGUAAGGAGGGAGCUGCCGAAGGUGGAGCCGGUAACUGGGGUGAAGUCGUAACAAGGUACC